AUAGUUACCUGGCAGUGGUGUCGGUGGUCACAGAGGCCGAUCUUCCUGGACGAGGCUAUCCCAUUGUACUAUGGGUAUGCUGACGCCUGCCAUCUCCCCAAAUGCGGGAAAUUCUACUGCAGAAUUUGUGCGAGUGGGGGACUGCGUUCGUGUUGAG